CAAAAAACUACUUGGAAGAGUUCUGAUUCCUCUAUAUUUUGUGGGUUUUUUUGAGACAAGGUCUCGCUAUGGAGUUCAGGCUGGUCUUGAACUCAUUACGUAGCCCCGCCUGGCAUCCGACCCCUGGCAACCCUCCUGCCUCAGCCUCCCGAGUGCUGGGAUUCCCAGGUGUGUGCUACAUGCCUGGCUUGGAUGACUAUUUUCACGCAGACACUCGUGCAAUCCCUGUGUAUGCCACCACCUGGGCACCUGGCCCGGGCCUCUCGGAAUCCAUGUCCCACAGGUCCUGCAACAGCAAGAUGUCAGCCACAGGUCGCCGCUCGAGAAUCUGCCCCCCUUGCUUCAGGCCACACUGACCUCCUCUUCCUUCUUGCAGCAGCCGAACCCGCUCCAGCGUCUCACUCGGCCGCAUUUCCUUCCUGCGGGAGGCUGAGGCAGGAGCCUUCCCUGGUGUGCAGAGAUGGCUUUCCCAGAGAAGCAUGUGCCUGUGCCACGGGGAACCCAGUGGAGAGCACCGGGCCAAGGGAUGCUUUCAAAAUGCUAUUCUCUACCGACGUCGUUCUGAGGAUUGAAUUCUGAGGUUCCUGGAAUGGUUUUGCAACAACCUGUGCUUGGAUGCCAUUAAGACAACAACAACCAACCAACCAACCAACCAAACAAACAAACAAACAAACAAAACCCAGCGACCUUUGUAGAUGCGCACUCCGGUGUCAGAAAACCGACACAGAUCGGGCGGUGCCGGGGGAGGGUUCCGUGCAAGUGGCCCUCACCUGCUGCCAGGAUCUCUGCUCCCCACGGCCGCGGUGGAAAGGCGCCCUUAACAAACGGGAGCCUGGCUUUGGCUAUAAAGCAAGACUGGAUGCUAAUGAGCG
rnacentral:lncRNA from 1 species